UGCAGUCGAACGAAGGCUUCGGCCUUAGUGGCGCACGGGUGCGUAACGCGUGGGAAUCUGCCCCUUGGUUCGGAAUAACAGUUGGAAACGACUGCUAAUACCGGAUGAUGACGUAAGUCCAAAGAUUUAUCGCCGAGGGAUGAGCCCGCGUAGGAUUAGGUAGUUGGUGUGGUAAAGGCGCACCAAGCCGACGAUCCUUAGCUGGUCUGAGAGGAUGAUCAGCCACACUGGGACUGAGACACGGCCCAGACUCCUACGGGAGGCAGCAGUGGGGAAUAUUGGACAAUGGGCGAAAGCCUGAUCCAGCAAUGCCGCGUGAGUGAUGAAGGCCUUAGGGUUGUAAAGCUCUUUUACCCGGGAUGAUAAUGACAGUACCGGGAGAAUAAGCUCCGGCUAACUCCGUGCCAGCAGCCGCGGUAAUACGGAGGGAGCUAGCGUUAUUCGGAAUUACUGGGCGUAAAGCGCACGUAGGCGGCUUUGUAAGUAAGAGGUGAAA
rnacentral:rRNA from 1 species